CCCAUAGAUUAGUGGAAAAAGCUGAUUAACCAGCUACUCAUAGGCUGCUAAUUCAUUCAUGCCAAUGUUUUGGUUUUUCAGUUUUGCCUCCGUGAUAAAUUAAAGAAUGGGGAGGGGUGAAGGAAGGGGAAGAAGAUUGCUUUAGAACAAGUGGCAUGAAAUUACCAUCUUCAUAGAAACCGCAGCUAACAGUGAGAGUUACCUAAGCAAUCAGAUGUUACAGGGCCAGCCCUUUAGCUGCUGUGAUGUAUUCUGUUGGGUAAUGAGGUAGUAGGUACUUUAUAGACUUUUAAUUUUGGAAAUUGAUGACAUCCCUCAGGCAUGUAUUCUGGAAAUGGAAUUCCUGUAACUUCCUGUGUCUGCAGUGUGCCCUACAAUUAGUAGGCAGCGCGUAAAAACACUAGUGUAGAUUACAAAGAUACUUAUUAAAAGAGGACCAGAAAUACUUGGUAUUCAGUGGCACAGAAAGCAGGUUAAACAAACAAAAAGCACAGUGUUAUGCUUGCAAGUUUCCAUUUGUUUUAAUACCACGCAAUCUUUCACACUCGUGCGUGUGCGCGCACACAGAGCUUACCUGACUUGCUCUACUUGAGUCAUGCAGUUAAAAAAAAAAAAGACAUCUUGACACCCACACAAUAUUCUAAUCAAAACCUUUCAGUUUCAAUCUGGAUAUUUAAAAACAUUGGCAGAAGCUUCUGUGAGUUUAGUUCCACUAAGAUGUUUCACCUGCCUUAUCAAGACCAUUCUCAGUCUACUUUUUUAAGCUACCGUAUCUUAAAUUAUUGAAAAUUUAUUAAUUGCUGAAUAUAUAAUAACCUUUGCUUGUAUGUAACCGAAAAUGGUUUAAGAGCCAACAUUUAGAGUAUGACAAUGGAGCUGAACAGUUUUUAAUGCGCAAGCAGUUCUGUUCUUGUGUAUGACUUGUAACCUUAAUUUACUGUGUAAAGAUGGUUACAUUAUUUCCUUAGCUUUGUUUGUUGGAGACAAAUAGAGAAUGCUUGUUAAGUAUGUCAAAACAAUCUUGUGAAUUUUUGUUAAUGUAUUAUACGAGCUAUAUUUUUCAUUUGCCCAGAAAGACAGCUUGUAUAACGCUUUUGGAAGUUUCUGCUCUGUAAUGUCUUUAGAGCUGACAGUCUGUUAGGUUUGUUUUUUUCUUCAUGCUAAAGUGUCAGUUGGUGGUUUUGUGAACUGGUCAAAAAUUCACAGGUCUUAAAUGUUUUGGGGGAAAUUUAUAUUGGACACUGCUCUUUGUCUAGCAAAUAAAAGAUGUUAAUAUAUUCCUGUUACUGGCAUGUGCACGACUAUGUUAUUAGAAGCCACUUUAUCAUUUUCCUGCUUUAAAUAGAAAUGUCUAUUUAUGAAUUCUGCUUGUAGUUUUUUCACAAAUAAAAUAGUAAAAU
rnacentral:lncRNA from 1 species